ACGAACGCUGGCGGCGUGCUUAACACAUGCAAGUCGAGCGAGAAACCUUCGGGUUUCUAGCGGCGGACGGGUGAGUAACACGUGGGUAACCUGCCUCAAAGAGGGGAAUAGCCUCCCGAAAGGGAGAUUAAUACCGCAUAAUAUUACAGCUUCGCAUGAAGCAGUAAUUAAAGGAGUAAUCCGCUUUGAGAUGGACCCGCGGCGCAUUAGCUAGUUGGAGAGGUAACGGCUCACCAAGGCAACGAUGCGUAGCCGACCUGAGAGGGUGAUCGGCCACAUUGGAACUGAGACACGGUCCAGACUCCUACGGGAGGCAGCAGUGGGGAAUAUUGCACAAUGGGCGAAAGCCUGAUGCAGCAACGCCGCGUGAGUGAUGACGGUCUUCGGAUUGUAAAGCUCUGUCUUUUGGGACGAUAAUGACGGUACCAAAGGAGGAAGCCACGGCUAACUACGU
rnacentral:rRNA from 1 species